GGGGAAUUUUGGACAAUGGGCGAAAGCCUGAUCCAGCCAUGCCGCGUGAGUGAAGAAGGCCUUCGGGUUGUAAAGCUCUUUCAGCCGGAAAGAAAUUGCUUCUAUUAAUACUAGGAGUAGAUGACGGUACCGGAAGAAGAAGCACCGGCUAACUACGUGCCAGCAGCCGCGGUAAUACGUAGGGUGCGAGCGUUAAUCGGAAUUACUGGGCGUAAAGCGUGCGCAGGCGGUUUGGUAAGACAGACGUGAAAUCCCCGGGCUUAACCUGGGAACUGCGUUUGUGACUGUCAGACUAGAGUGUAGCAGAGGGGGGUAGAAUUCCACGUGUAGCAGUGAAAUGCGUAGAUAUGUGGAGGAAUACCAAUGGCGAAGGCAGCCCCCUGGGUUAACACUGACGCUCAUGCACGAAAGCGUGGGGAGCAAACA
rnacentral:rRNA from 1 species